rnacentral:rRNA from 1 species
UGGGGAAUAUUGCACAAUGGGCGCAAGCCUGAUGCAGCCAUGCCGCGUGUGUGAAGAAGGCCUUCGGGUUGUAAAGCACUUUCAGCAGUGAGGAAGGCGGGUACGUUAAUAGCGUGCUCGUUUGACGUUAGCUGCAGAAGAAGCACCGGCUAACUCCGUGCCAGCAGCCGCGGUAAUACGGAGGGUGCGAGCGUUAAUCGGAAUUACUGGGCGUAAAGCGCAUGCAGGUGGUUCGUUAAGUCAGAUGUGAAAGCCCGGGGCUCAACCUCGGAACUGCAUUUGAAACUGGCGGACUAGAGUACUGUAGAGGGGGGUAGAAUUUCAGGUGUAGCGGUGAAAUGCGUAGAGAUCUGAAGGAAUACCGGUGGCGAAGGCGGCCCCCUGGACAGAUACUGACACU